rnacentral:rRNA from 1 species
GACGAACGCUGGCGGCGUGCUUAACACAUGCAAGUCGAACGGAAAGGCCCUGCUUUUGUGGGGUGCUCGAGUGGCGAACGGGUGAGUAACACGUGAGUAACCUGCCCUUGACUUUGGGAUAACUUCAGGAAACUGGGGCUAAUACCGGAUAGGAGCUCCUGCUGCAUGGUGGGGGUUGGAAAGUUUCGGCGGUUGGGGCUGGACUCGCGGCUUAUCAGCUUGUUGGUGUGGUAGUUGCUUACCAAGGCUUUGACGGAUAGCCGGCCUGAGAGGGUGACCGGCCACAUUGGGACUGCGGUACGGCCCAGAAUCCUACGGGAGGCAGCAGUGGAGAAUAUUGCGCAAUGAGCGGAAGCCUGAUGCAGCAACGCCGCGUGCGGGAUGACGGCCUUCGAGUUGUAAACCGCUUUCGCCGGUGACGAAGCGUGAGUGACGGUAAUGGGUAAAGAAGCACCGGCUAACUACGUG